AUUGAACGCUCGCGGCAGGCUUAACACAUGCAAGUCGAGCGGGGUGAUGGUGCUUGCACUAUCACUUAGCGGCGGACGGGUGAGUAAUGCUUAGGAAUCUGCCUAUUAGUGGGGGACAACAUCUCGAAAGGGAUGCUAAUACCGCAUUCGUCCUACGGGAGAAAGCAGGGGAUCACUUGUGACCUUGCGCUAAUAGAUGAGCCUAAGUCGGAUUAGCUAGUUGGUGGGGUAAAGGCCUACCAAGGCGACGAUCUGUAGCGGGUCUGAGAGGAUGAACCGCCACACUGGGACUGAGACACGGCCCAGACUCCUACGGGAGGCAGCAGUGGGGAAUAUUGGACAAUGGGGGGAACCCUGAUCCAGCCAUGCCGCGUGUGUGAAGAAGGCCUUAUGGUUGUAAAGCACUUUAAGCGAGGAGGAGGCUCUUUUGGUUAAUACCCAAGAUGAGCGGACGUUACUCGCAGAAUAAGCACCGGCUAACUCUGUGCCAGCCGCCGCGGUAA
rnacentral:rRNA from 1 species